rnacentral:misc_RNA from 1 species
AGGAUUUAUGAAAACUUUGUACCUUCAAGCAAGAAAGAAAAUAUUAACAAAAAUUACAAAAACAAAAAUAAAAUAUACAACCAUACAACAAAAGGAUUUUCAAAAUAAAUCUCUUCAACAAAGAAAAAGAGGUUAAUAAGGAUGAGGGGAAGAUAGUUUAAGCCAGACACAAGCAUAUGGUACUUCACAAGUGUAGUGCUCACUCCUCAGUACCAUUCCAGAAUAGGUGACAGGGUAGCUCAGCCAAGAAGUUCAGGCAAGCAACCCCCCCCUCUCUUCUUCUAAAAUUAUUGUACUUUAAUCAAACAAUGAAAUUAUAUAUCUUUUCCAAAUAAUAUGCAAUCCUCCCAACACAAUUUGCACUGAUCUGAUAAAAGCCUUUAGUUCCAGUUAGAUACU